GAGUGGAGCCACUGAUGAAGUUAAAACUGCCUCCUCCUUCAGGAAGAUUUUGCUCCCAUAGCUAGCGAACAGGGAGCGGAGCAGUGUCAGGAGGAUCUGCGGGCGCUGCUGCGGGCUUCUAUGCAGGGACAGUGCAGCAGGCAGCCUCUCAGGGCCAGGGGAAUUUCAGGACAGGGGUCAUCAGCAGCCCUGCGCAUUCUCCAUCCCUGGAUCGGCCCCUGCGCCUUGGCUCACCACCUAAGACUGAACAAGCACUAAACGACAGACCAGCCCCCUAACAGCUCACUCCGAAAAUAAGCAGGCCUCGUAGAGAAACGAUUUUUGUUGGAGCAUCCUGGUUUUGCCACCUGCUCACACCACUACCUGUCCUUCUCUCCAAGGAGGCUUCUGCCAGCCCUGCUUAUCCUUCCCUAGAAAAGGAAAGCCUUUUCCUGUUUGAUCCUGAGACACUUGCACAUUGAGUUUGGAAUGUUCUCCCUAUUGCAAUCGUCUUUUUGAAUAAGUUUUAUUUUUCCCUACCUCUGGUUGAUUUCUGAUUAAUACCAGUGAGCUUGGAUGAAAGCCUGCACACCUCAGGUGUGUGUGUGUGUGUGUGUGUGUGUGUGUGUGUGUGUGUGUGUGUAUUUUAGCAUUACCAUGAAGGCAAUAACAAUAAAAUCAAAGAAAAGCAAAUGGAUAAGCAAUAUGUUGGACUAACAUCUCAAAUCUGAAAAUGGCAUUGAUAUGAUUUAUUUUCAAAAUGGUAAGCUUUUUGAAGUAUAAUCUUAUUUUAACCUAAAAUCUUACUAUCAAAAAAUGCAAUGUACGUUAAAAUGUUCUGAAAUGCUUUUAUUCACAUUUAUUAAAUGGUCAUACUCACUCAGAUAUCUACAAAUUGGUUUUUCACUUAUGUAAUUGUCUUAUAGAAUAUUCAAAAGUCAUGCAGAAUGUGAGAUAAUUUUCUGUUGAAUAUGAUCGUUUUAUCAUUGCAAGACAUCAAACAUCCCUGUUUCCUGCCAAAUAAAUGUACAAUAGCAA